AGUCGUCAAAUCAUCUAAUCUAACAGUUUAUACACAGAAUCGACAUGUCCUCCUGAACAUGUAAAACACUUUAGAAACCCUGAAGGCAAUGGCAGGAGCUACAACUAGAUUAGUUUAUUUUUUUUCCUCUUCCCCCUUCAUCCAGAAUAGCGCAAAUUACAAGCCAUAGAAGUAAAAAAACAAUUCUCUUCAGUAAAUUCUCAAUAUUCAAGAAUUGAAUAUUGCACUGCAAACAGAAUAUAUGAAUAGGAGUAUCUGAAAUCAUUCCAG
rnacentral:misc_RNA from 1 species